rnacentral:lncRNA from 10 species
GGACUUCGCCCACGUCAUAAGCUUUGACAAGAGGGCUGCCGCACUGGACGCAGGCAACAUCAAGCUGACCUUCAAUAGUCUGCUGGAGAAAGCAGAGGCACGGGAGAGGGAGCGGGAGAAGGAGGAGGCACGCAGGAUGCGGCGCAGGGAAGCUGCCUUUCGAAGCAUGCUGAGGCAGGCUGUGCCUGCUCUGGAGCUAGGCACUGCCUGGGAAGAGGUCAGGAGCGUAGCCUGGCCCCAAGCACCCCUCAAGCCUGAGGGCAGCGGUGCUUCACCACUGAGGGCCCACCCCAGUCACGUCACAGCCCUGGGCCAGCUCCAGUUCCCUUCCUUUCUCUGCCCCAGCCCUGCCCUGUGCUCAUGGCGGUGUCCAGGCCAGGCUGAGUGGGGCCUAGUCUGAUCAGCAGUGCUCUCCUCGUUCAAGGUCCGUGAGCGUUUUGUGUGUGACUCAGCCUUUGAGCAGAUCACCCUGGAGUCGGAGCGGAUCCGGCUCUUCCGGGAGUUCCUACAGGUGCUGGAGACUGAAUGCCAGCACCUCCACACCAAAGGCCGAAAGCAUGGCAGGAAAGGCAAGAAGCACCAUCACAAGCGUUCCCACUCACCCUCAGGCUCUGAGUCAGAAGAAGAGGA